rnacentral:lncRNA from 1 species
GGUUGGGCGGGUGAUGCUGGGACGCGGGGGGAUUGCGGAGGAGGGAGGCGGGAACCUGGGCUGGGAAAAGCGAGGAAGGAAGAGGGAACUCGGGCCGAGGGGGAAAGGGAAAGUUCAGGCCCUAGUGAAGGCGAAGCGGGAAGCAAGACCUAGGCAGAGGAAGAAACCAGGGCUGGGAACGGCGAGAAGGGAACAGGGAGCCCGAGGCGGGUUGAUGGUCUCCAGCUGGAAUGGAUUGGGAACUGGAAAAGUCAGAAGUCAGGGACAAGAAGAGGCUAACAUGACUGGUACCAGUAUAAUUUAGUGAAUCACCCCAUUUCUAAAGAGGAGCCCAGAGGAAGACUGGUCAUCUCUUGCAGAUCUCAAAACCAUGGCUCAGUUGGCUCAGG